ACGGUGAGGGUUUGGGAGCCCUCUCAUACCGUCGCCCCGAUUCGUCGGAAACGUUAAGGAAGCCUGCCCUUCUCCAGCGGCGGGGUGAAUCCUGAUCCCUUGCUCUCCCUACUCACGUGGUGCUGCCAAUCGGCGAUUGGAUUUGACUACGGCGGCGAAGCUCCUCUUCCGCAGGCAGUGGCAGUACUCAAAUUGAUACUCUUCAUGGCCGAAUCUACCAUGCAAAGCACUUGAUCCUUCAGUUAAAUCAGUUUGUGUUUACGCUUAGAAAGAUAGUGCUCAAAUAUGCUAUCAAUCCAUUAGUUGGUGUUGGUUUUUUACCUUAUCAUUCUCGAUUAAAAUAUCAUGUCAUUGCAUUAAAUGCUGAAAUCCUCUCUUGCAGUUAGUUAGAUGUUCAAAGUACCUUGCUCGAUUUAUAUUUUCUAUACUCCAGUUGAUUCUAA